UCAACUUGAAUUCAGAUUUAU
rnacentral:piRNA from 1 species